UGCAGGAUGCCUGGGCCACAAUUAGCAGCGAAUUCAGCAGGUCUAGAAAGCUACUUGCAUCCAUUGCCAGUAUGCCGCACCCACAUCUCCAGGAGAGAACCCUGUCUUCAGGGCAUGGUCUCUAUUCUUCAGAUUUAGAAAGUGAGAUUCAGAGAACCUCAAGACCACCUGGAACCCUUAGGAAAUUUCACGUAAUUGUACCAAGUAUGAACCUAAGGUUUUCCAGUCUUUCUGGGACUGACGGUCAUGCAGGGCAGAUUUCCCCGGAGGAGCUCACACCUUACACAUCCCCCAUUAACAGAGAGGGCCUGCUGGAGCAGUGGGCCAAAGCAAGCCCAUUUCCCCUUGGGACGGAUGUCAUCACACUGUCUGGGGCCUCUCUCAGGUGGGCAAGAUCUAAGAUACAGCUCCACGUCGGCUGUGUUUCCUUUAUCUUUCAUACCAGUCCUGAUCAAAGGGGGGCAUUGGUGGUUAUACACACUGCAUUGCAGUUAAGGUGAUGACUUUGACUGGAAUCAGAGGUGGGAAAGUUCAUGGGAUAGAAAAUGAAACAGCAUCCUAUGAGCCCAGUCGUUCUGCCUGGGGGAGGCAUGAACCUUUAUCCACGUGCCAACCUUUCAUCUCACUGAAGAUCAGAGCUACAUGUCAUUUCAUUCGCAGGUAAGAGCAGGGAGUAGUAGGGCCCUGUGAUUUUCCAGUGACUCAGCCUGUGCACUUUAAAGAAAGAUUUUAGAGAAAGAGCUGGCUGUUGGUGUGGAAGUCACAUGUAGGGAACUGGGUUGGUGUGACUCCUCAGCUCAAGGAUAUUAGCAGCAUUGGUCUCUGUGAGACCCCUCUCUUGGAUUUACCUACUUCCUUAUUCCUCUUAUUCCCCACCCUGCAGUUCCAUUUUCCUCUCCCACCCACAGUGAU